rnacentral:rRNA from 1 species
AUGGGCGCUCUUCACCGCCUGCGGCACCCUCGCCUCCUUCGCCUUUGGCCACGCGGUCGCCUACGCACUCGGCCAGCAUGUUGGUCUGGGCGCAGUCCUCCUUCUUCCUGCGGUGCGCCCAGUGGACGGACGCGGAGGCCGACGAGGAGAGCGCGCUCUGGUUCGGGAUGCUCUGCUGCGCCCUACUCCAGGCUCCCGUGCCGCCGCCGCUGGGUCCGCCGCGCCCUCGCCUACCUCGCGCUCGUGGUCACCAUCGUUGGCCACUGCAUGUACGUCGUCCACGUCCGCCUCAUCCUGGCCGCCGACACAGGAUACGUCUCCGCCAGGAUCUUGGGCACGGCGGACAUGGUCAUCUUCGCGGGGGGCGACCUCCUCUGCUUCCUGGGCCUCCUCCUCGGAGGUGACAAGUGA